rnacentral:rRNA from 1 species
GAUGAACGCUAGCGGCAGGCUUAACACAUGCAAGUCGAGGGGCAGCAUUAGACGGAGAUUCGUCGAAGUCUAGAUGGCGACCGGCGCAAGGGUGCGUAACGCGUGAGCAACUUGCCCGUUUCAGGGGGAUAACCGGUGGAAACGCCGACUAAUACCCCAUAGUAUCAACGAGAGGCAUCUUUCGUUGAUUAAAGAAAUUCGGAGACGGAUAGGCUCGCGUGACAUUAGCUAGAUGGCGGGGUAACGGCCCACCAUGGCGACGAUGUCUAGGGGUUCUGAGAGGAAGGUCCCCCACACUGGAACUGAGACACGGUCCAG